AUUGAACGCUGGCGGCAGGCCUAACACAUGCAAGUCGAGCGAGCGGCGGACGGGUGAGUGAUGUCUGGGGAUCUGCCUGAUGGAGGGGUAUAACUACUGGAAACGGUAGCUAAUACUGCAUACCAUCAGAUGGGCCCAUAUGGGAUUAGCGAGUGGGUGGGGUAACGGCUUACCUAGGCGACGCUGCCUAGCUGGACUGAGAGGAUGAUCAGCCACACUGGGACUGAGACACGGCCCAGACUCCGACGGGAGGCAGCAGUGGGGAAUAUUGCACAAUGGGCGCAAGCCUGAUGCAGCCAUGCCGCGUGUAUGAAGAAGGCCUUCGGGUUGUAAAGUACUGUCAGUCGGGAGGCGUUACCGACAGAAGAAGCACCGGCUAACUCCGUGCCAGCAGCCGCGGUAAUAC
rnacentral:rRNA from 1 species